rnacentral:rRNA from 1 species
AUUGAACGCUGGCGGCAGGCCUAACACAUGCAAGUCGAGCGAGAGGCGGACGGGUGUGUAAUGUAUGGGGACUGCCCGAUAGAGGGGGAUAACUACUGGAAACGGUAGCUAAUACCGCAUACUAUCGGAUAACCCAUAUGGGAUUAGAUCGUUGGGGAGGUAAUGACUCACCAGGGCGAAGAUCCCUAGCUGGUCUGUGAGGAUGAUCAGCCACACUGGGACGGAGACACGGUCCAGACUCCUACGGAGGCAGCAGUGGGGAAUAUUGCACAAUGGGCGCAAGCCUGAUGCAGCCAUGCCGCGUGUAUGAAGAAGGCCUUCGGGUUGUAAAGUACUUUCGGUGGCGAGGCGUUACCCACAGAAGAAGCACCGGCUAACUCCGUGCCAGCAGCCGCGGUAAUAC